GACGUAGGGGGCAAGCGUUGUCCGGAAUUAUUGGGCGUAAAGCGCGCGCAGGCGGUCUCUUAAGUCUGAUGUGAAAGUCCACGGCUCAACCGUGGGAUUGCAUUGGAAACUGGGGGACUUGAGUGCAGAAGAGGAGAGUGGAAUUCCUGGUGUAGCGGUGAAAUGCGUAGAUAUCAGGAGGAACACCAAUGGCGAAGGCAGCUCUCUGGUCUGUAACUGACGCUGAGGCGCGAAAGCGUGGGUAGCAAACAGG
rnacentral:rRNA from 1 species